rnacentral:rRNA from 1 species
UACGUAGGGUGCGAGCGUUGUCCGGAAUUACUGGGCGUAAAGAGCUCGUAGGUGGUUUGUCGCGUCGGGAGUGAAAACAGCGGGCUUAACUCGUUGCUUGCUUCCGAUACGGGCAGACUAGAGGUAUGCAGGGGAGAAUGGAAUUCCUGGUGUAGCGGUGAAAUGCGCAGAUAUCAGGAGGAACACCGGUGGCGAAGGCGGUUCUCUGGGCAUUACCUGACGCUGAGGAGCGAAAGUGUGGGGAGCGAACAGG